rnacentral:rRNA from 1 species
GAUGAACGCUGGCGGCGUGCCUAAUACAUGCAAGUCGAGCGAACAGAUAAGGAGCUUGCUCCUUUGACGUUAGCGGCGGACGGGUGAGUAACACGUGGAUAACCUACCUAUAAGACUGGGAUAACUUCGGGAAACCGGAGCUAAUACCGGAUAACAUAUUGAACCGCAUGGUUCAAUAGUGAAAGGCGGUUUUGCUGUCACUUAUAGAUGGAUCCGCGCCGCAUUAGCUAGUUGGUAAGGUAACGGCUUACCAAGGCAACGAUACGUAGCCGACCUGAGAGGGUGAUCGGCCACACUGGAACUGAGACACGGUCCAGACUCCUACGGGAGGCAGCAGUAGGGAAUCUUCCGCAAUGGGCGAAAGCCUGACGGAGCAACGCCGCGUGAGUGAUGAAGGUCUUCGGAUCGUAAAACUCUGUUAUCAGGGAAGAACAAAUGUGUAAGUAACUGUGCACAUCUUGACGGUACCUGAUCAGAAAGCCACGGCUAACUACGUG